UUUUUCUCUCAUUUCUGCAAAGAUAUCAGUAUUUUUGCUACAAGAAAUCUGAAAGAAAAAAAUGGCAUACAAUCUUCAAUCCCUGAUCACAAUCCUACAACAAAUCCUUCAUCCUGAUCAAACCCACUGGACUUUUGAUCACAACAAACCACAGCUCGAAUCCCUAAUCCAAAUAGCUGAAUCUCUGAUGCAAAUUCUUGAAAAGUCUUCACAUACCCAAAUAGCAAGUUUUGAGAGUCAAAUCAGAGAUACAGUGUACAAAGCAGAGGAUAUUAUUGAGUCAAAGAUGGUUAAUCAAAUGCUCUCCAACCCAGAAAGCAAGAGCUUGACCUUUUCCACACCAUAUCUGCAACAAGUCACUCAAGAGCUUGAUUCUGUACUGGUUUUGAUGGCUGAGAAGAUGAUGACUUCAUCAGAUUUGCAGCAAGCAACUCAACAACUUGAAUCUAUGAAGCUCGUGGCAGUGGAGAAAAAGAGUGCUUCUUCUUCCUCGAGAUCUAAGAGUGAUUUGGUGGGAGUUGAUGCAAUUCUGUUAAAGUUGAAGGAUCGUCUCACGAAUUCGGAGAAGAGGGUGAAGAUUGUACCCCUCGUUGGUAUGGGUGGUAUAGGUAAGUCCACCCUUGCUCGAAAACUUUAUGAAGACUCGUGUACUGUUUCUCACUUUGAUUAUUGUGGGUGGGCUGUGAUUUCACAAGUUCCCAAUAUGCGGGAAAUUAUGUUAAGUCUUCUUUGCGGCCCGGAUGAAAAAGUAAGUGAUGAAUUGAUUGGAUGCGGGGAAAAUGAGUUGAGAGAAAUAUUGUAUAAGAGAUUGUUUGGGCGAACAUAUAUAAUUGUGUUGGAUGAUAUAUGGAGCACAAAAGUGUGGGAUGAGAUAAGGAUGUAUUUCCCAGACAACAGUAAUGGGAGUCGGAUUGUGAUCACCACUAGGGAGUCUGAUGUGGCGAAGCAUGUUGUAGGCUCAAAGAGUCUGCAUCAUGUACGGCUGCUGAACAAGUCCGCGAGUCGGGAUUUACUUUGCCAGAUUGUGUUUGGAGAAGAGGAUUGCCCUGACGAACUGCAAGAGGUGGCAGCUAAGAUUGGGAGUGAUUGCAGUGGGCUUCCUCUUGCCAUUCAUGUGAUUGGAGGGCUCUUGUCAAAACUAGAAAGAUCGAGAGAUGUCUGGGAGAAUGUUUCAACGGAUGUAAAAGCUUCAAUUGUUGAAUCGGAUGAGCAUUUCUCAAAUAUACUUUCCUUGAGUUAUAAUCACUUGCCAAUUCAUUUGAAACCGUGUUUCUUAUACAUGGGAGCUUUUCCAGAAGAUUAUGAAAUUAAGGGUUCUAGACUUAUGAGUUUGUGGAUAGCUGAGGGAUUUGUGAAAUCCAAUGGAGAUAAGCGUUUGGAGGAAGAGGCUGAGACUUACUUACAAGCUCUGGUACUUUUGGUUAGACGAAAAAAGUACAAUGGGAAACCAGUAAGUUACUAUAUCCAUGAUAUUUUGAGGGAUCUAUGUUUAAGGAAGGCUAAUGAGGAAAAGUUUUUAAACCUCAAGGAUUCCAUGCGUCGUGCAAGUGUUCACUCGUCAUCUGAGAUAGAAGAUGUGUGUGCCUCACCACAAUUGAUGUCACUUGCUCGAUCUAUCAUAUGCACUGGGAAGAAGAUUGCAUCUCCGGUGUUUUCCAUGCUAAGAUUGGUUAGGGUGCUAGAUGUGAUGGAAAUCGAAUACAAAGUGUUCCCUGAAGAAAUACUUCAACUUGUCAACCUACGCUACUUAGCUUUCUCAUGCCCUUCAGGUUUACCUAUUGGAAUAUCAAAAUUGUGGAAUCUGCAAACCUUGAUUUGUAUGCGCGGUAUGUAUCCUUAUUUGCCAUCAGAGAUAUGGGAGAUGUCCGAGUUAAGACGCCUCAAUUUGGCAACACUCAAUGAAAUUGGGACGGAAUUCAGGUUUAGAUUUGUUCAUAAGAAGCUGCAUAAGAUAUUCAUUGUGAGGAUAACUCCUUCAAUGAUUAGGAAUGGUUUCUUUGAGACCAUCCCAAAUAUCAUUAGCUUAGGAAUCACUUUCAAGAAUUCACCGGACAGUGAAGUUGAUCUUAGCCAUCUUCACAAACUCGAAAUUUUAAGAUGCUCUACCAACCGUAAAAAAGAUCCUUGCCGUUUUCUGCACAAACUCAGAUUUCCAUGUAAUAUUAGAAAGUUAGUUCUAAUUGGAUGUGCAGUAGCUCAGAGUUUCUUGACAACUCUUUGUGCACUACGAUAUCUGGAAGUGCUCAAAAUAAGGUCUUGUAUGUUUGAAAGAGACGGAGAGGCAGAGGAAGAAGAGUUGGAGGUGACAGAAGGAGAUGAAUUCUGCUCAUUGCUGUUUCUGCGCCUCGAGUCCUUAAAGAUAGGGCGUUGGAAAGCCGACGAGACGAACUUCCCCAAACUCCGGGUGCUUCAUGUAAUCAGAUGUAAGGUGUUAAAGGAAAUCCCCCGUGACAUUGGAGAUAUCCCGACCCUCCAAACAAUUUUCGUAAGUGAAUGUGGCUCUUCCGUCGUGGCCUCAGCGCAAGAAAUUGAGAAGGUUCAGCAAGAGGAGUACGGCAACUACGACCUCAAAGUGCUCAUACAAGAUUAGAAGCCAAAAAGGUACAAAUGCUAAACAAUAAGCAAUUAAAAGAGCAUGCUCCAUUUGUUCAUAUACAACACAAUCUAGUCCUUAAUAUUCGUUUUGAACUUAAAAUCGUUGGUAUACUUUCUUGAUUACGACUUGUGGUUAUUAAACUGUGUGUCUUCUGUAUGGUGAAACGAGUCUGCAGCUUGAAUAGUUUCAGCAUAACACAAGCACUCGUGUGAUAGGGUUUAAGUUCCCUAUCAAGAAAUUUGUAGAGCACUCGAAGAUUGAACGGAAAGAAAUCGAUAAUUCCCUAGUUGAAGUUCUAGGGUUUUGGAACAAGAAUGAGAAAAGAAUUAUUUUAUUUCUUAAUUCUCAAUACUCAAAAGACUAAACAUAGUUCUCCUUAUAUAAGAAUUCUACCGAGAUGAAAAUAGCUAAUAAAUCAAAGACGAGAUAUUAAAAGAUAUGACUAACUAAUCAAAGAUAUGUUUCCAUCUAAAAUAAUAUUUAUUUGGAGACAUAAUCUUGAUAUCUAAUUAACUUGGAUUCCAUGCGUUUGAUGUGGGCUUGAUCGGUUGAAGAGCAUUGGGAGGGCCAAGCCCCUAUCAACUCCUCCUCCCAAGAAAACCGCCUUGUCCUCAAGGCGUAGAUGACAAAAAUGUAGCAGAAGAUCAAUUUUAUAACUCCAUAUUCUGAAGCUCGAAUUUGAAGCAACACACAUAGCUUACUACGAGCAGCCACGUUUGCUUCCUCUGCAGCUGAUUGCCUAGCAUCUGAUCUUGCCAUCUCUAAUGCAAUUUGAACAGCUAGCCCUUCCUCUGCACUUGCACUAGCUAGAAUAAGUGUUGGAUCGGGCUCGACGCUAGGAGUCCCACUUGCAUUCUCCUCGAAGCUUGUAUUCUUUGUAGUUGGACCUUGAAUCAUUUGCAGUUUGUGGGGCGAAUGUUGGCCAACCACAUCAACUAUGUUAAAAACAACCUCUUCGAACUUUCUCGAGGUAGCAGCAACACAAUGCAAUGAAAAAAUCCAUAAGAAAACAAUGAAACCAAUGAACAAACCCUUGAAUUUGUAGGAACUCUACUGUUGUGUCAACAUCAGCAACAUAGCGUAUUGCAGCCUUAUCAUCCAUAAUCGUCUCUGGAUAAUCAUCGACAAUGUUCCCCAAAACACCAUCACUCAGAGCAUAGUGGCGCCCCAUCACUUCAGUAAGGAUUGCAAUGGAGAGAUCAGCCAACUCGACUUGGAACGAGUAAGAAAAUAGGAAAUAUGCCCACUCUGAUCCAUCCUUUGUGAUAGCCACCCCUCUCACCAAUGCAUCAACUUCUUUAAGAGCUAACUUCCUUAUAAAACCAUGAGAAUCAAUCCAAUAAGAACAUGAGUGAUUCCUCCUCAAGGUGGAAGUACUCUCAAAAUCUCCUGGGUCGAAAACACACACUCCUUUCUUCAUGCCAAACUGAAGAAGUUCACGUCCCCAUCGUGUUAAAGCAGUAGAGAGAGUCGACGACAUCGGCCAUGUUGCUCUUGGGUCUCGACCUGGACAAGACAAGGAUACUUCGUGACCCAAUCUGGACUUGCGUGCAUAUCCGGUGGAGUUCACAGCUGACUCAUGGCUUUUGCGCAUGUUUGGAGCAGCGACAACGGCUGAAGUUACUCGCAACAGUGACUGCUUGUUCGUGACAGCAGUGCUGAUCCGUGACAGCAGCGAGUCCACGGCAGAAGCAUUAGCAGCACGGCUGGAGCAGGUCGGUCUGGCACUUUCAAACCUAUAGUAAUGUUUGUGCACGCUAUACCAUCACUUCUUUCCCUUGUAUCCUCUAAAGUAAUGCACAGCAGUUCAAAAUGUUGUUUUCCUAGAGUAGCUGUUGCGUCGUCCUUUCCAUAAUCAUUUUCAUGAAACCUCUCGUUACAUCUUGCCCCCACAGUAGCGUAAUCCAUCUCCACCUCAAGAUUAAGCGGGAUUGACGAUGGCUUGACAAGAGGCGUGUCCAGAGCAUUGAUAUCAGCAUGUAUCAGUACCACAGAUGGGCUCAUCUCGUGAGGAUCGAGGGGAAACCACACAAAAUCUGUUCAAUGACGCAAUAGAUGAAAAUGAGCCAGGUGUUCGGAAAGGUGGUGGUCUCCAACCCACACGAAAGCUCCUGUCCAAAUGUUGUACAACAUUAUGUCGAGGACUCGAGCUGGCCUCCAAGGAUACACUGCUUUUAUCACCUAGAUCCGACGAAACUCCCUUGUUCACUACGUCUUCUUCCACUGGAUAUGUUGAGCCGUCUCUUGGCAGAAUGGGCUCAGUAAGAGCCUGAACUUGCGCAGCUUGCUCCACGUCAUGCCUGAUGCCAUGGAUAUCGUCGCCAACGCUCAUUUCACUAGCCAUAUGCAGAUCACUACAAGUUUGGACAAAGAGAUCGUCAUCUGGGUUGUGCUCCUUAACAGCCAUAAUUGUUUGCUUGACUUCCUCUAUUCGUGGAAGUGGCUCCUUGACGACCAUAAUUGGCUCCUGGUUCGCAAUAGGGUACGCCGUUGGGCGUAUAGGUUGUCGCUGGUCUCGGCUGGUCUCUCCAGUCCAUCGAAACGGCCCAAAUGAGGCAGGCGCCGCAUAGGGCUUAUAGAAUUCGAGAUCAAACCAUUGUUUUACAACCAAUAAGAAAUCAUCCCAACCCUUACCUUUGUUAGUUUCCAUCCAAUAUUCCUCCAAUCUAAUGCUGGGUGAUCGAACAAAUAUUGUGUAAGAUAAAGACGAUCAUCUAGCGGUGUGUGGUGGUGAUUAUAGUAAUUCUGGAUCUUACGGAUCCAAUCUGGGGCAUUCUCUCCGUCGAAACGUGGUGGCUCGCGGCGGAGGCGUGGUACGGCCCAGGGUUUGAUACCCAGCGGUGGGUUUGUGAUCGACGGCGGAAGAGACCAGUCCCACUGUGGUGGCAUGACGGGUUGUUGGUCCGGCGGCUCCUUCGGUCUCUCAUGCAGAAGUGAGCACUCGGCAAGGCUGCCCGGGCCUCUGCGAUCUGCGUUUGCUGCUCGAAAUUCUCCACCAAAGCCUGAUUUUGAGCUUUGAUCAUUCGGUUUAAUUCCAAGAGCAUAUCAUCGAUGGUUGGGUGGUGUUGUUGUGAUUCCUUAUGAAUAGACAUGAUAUUUUGAGAAGAUAGGUUUAUGCGUGUGAAUGAAGGUGUUCAAGCAACAAAAGCUAAGGGUUUCAAUAGUGGACGUGAAUUUGAGAGAAAUUGAUUAUGGUGGGAGAAGAGUAAUCAAUGGAAGCACCAAUUGAUAGGGUUUAAGUUCCCUAUCGAGAGAUUUGUAGAGCACUCGAAGAUUGAAUGGAAAGAAAUCGAUAAUUCCCUAGUUGAAGUUCUAGGGUUUUGGAACAAGAACGAGAAAAGAAGUAUUUUAUUUCUUAAUUCUCAAUACUCAAAAGACUAAACAUAGUUCCCCUUAUAUAAGAAUUCUACCGAGAUGAAAAUAGCUAAUAAAUCAAAGACGAGAUAUUAAAAGAUAUGACUAACUAAUCAAAGAUAUGUUUCCAUCUAAAAUAAUAUUUAUUUGGAGACAUAAUCUUGAUAUCUAAUUAACUUGGAUUCCAUGCGUUUGAUGUGGGCUUGAUCGGUUGAAGAGCAUUGGGAGGGCCAAGCCCCUAUCAUCGUGGCUCGAGCUAAACAUAUGUAGUGUAAUAAAAGCUGAUGCUGCUCUUACAACGCUUGCAAUAUGCUGCUAAACGUCUCGUGAUUGUAAUGUGAUUGUACAAAUGUAUGCCUUCUUCCCAACUAUUGCUCUGUUUUCUUCAAAUAUAUGCUAAGUGAUUCGAAUCUCCAAUUUAUUGAUUGAAACUGUCGUGUUGACAUGUUGCUGA